rnacentral:rRNA from 1 species
GACGAACGCUGGCGGCGUGCUUAACACAUGCAAGUCGAACGGUGAAGCGCCUUCCUUUUUGGUGGGUGUGGAUGAGUGGCGAACGGGUGAGUAACACGUGAGUAACCUGCCCCCUUCUUCUGGAUAACCGCAUGAAAGUGUGGCUAAUACGGGAUAUUCUGGGUCUGUCGCAUGAUGGGUCUGGGAAAGAUAUUGUUUCGGUGGGGGAUGGGCUCGCGGCCUAUCAGCUUGUUGGUGGGGUGAUGGCCUACCAAGGCGGUGACGGGUAGCCGGCCUGAGAGGGUGGACGGUCACACUGGGAAGGAGACACGGCCCAGACUCCUACGGGAGGCAGCAGUGGGGAAUAUUGCACAGUGGGAGCAAGGCUGAUGCAGCGACGCCGGGUGAGGGAUGGAGGCCUUCGGGUUGUGAACCUCUUUCGCCAGUGAAGCAGGCCUGCCUCGUUUGUGGGUGGGUUGACGGUAGCUGGAUAAGAAGCGCCGGCUAACUACGUG